AUAAUCAUGCCACGACGCCCCACUUUCCUCGGCAGCCUCGGAUGUAUGUAUAAAAAGGCAUCCGGCUUCUCGAUUCCGGCAUAAAACAUUUUUUUUUGUGCAAAUCUAUUCUUUGUCUUCACUCUAUUUCAUUCCACGAAAACCAACCAAAAUCAAAAAUGGGCGCAGAAAAGGUAUCCAUGAACAUCGUGGUCGUCGGAGAAGUCCAAUCUCCUAAGGCCAUCAACAAGGUCGCAAAAGCCACCCCAGCCACCAGCCAAUUAAUGAACUGUUAAUUCACCAUGUAGUUCAUACGUUACAAACUCAAAAAUGCCAUAGCCCAAAUAUUACAAUAAUAUGUAAUUAUACCAACAUGUAUGUAAAUUAAUAUUAUGUACAUUGAAAAAUAAAUCAGUCUUCUCAGUUAUUUGACU